CUGGCGGCAUGCCUAAUACAUGCAAGUCGAACGAGAAAGUGGAGCAAUCCAUGAGUAAAGUGGCGACCGGGUGAGUAACACGUGACUAACCUACCUUCGAGUGGGGAAUAACCUCGGGAAACCGGGGCUAAUACCGCAUAAUGUCUUCGGACCAAAGGAGCAAUUCGCUUGAAGAGGGGGUCGCGGCCGAUUAGCUAGUUGGUGGGGUAACGGCCCACCAAGGCAAUGAUCGGUAGCCGGCCUGAGAGGGCGCACGGCCACACUGGAACUGAAACACGGUCCAGACUCCUACGGGAGGCAGCAGUGGGGAAUUUUGCGCAAUGGGAGAAACCCUGACGCAGCAACGCCGCGUGGAGGAUGAAGCCCCUUGGGGUGUAAACUCCUUUCGAUCGGGACGAUUAUGACGGUACCGGAUGAAGAAGCACCGGCUAACUCUGUGCCAGCAGCCGCGGUAAUACAGAGGGUGCAAGCGUUGUUCGGAAUUAUUGGGCGUAAAGGGUGCGUAGGCGGUGCGGUAAGUCUCUUGUGAAAUCUCCGGGCUCAACUCGGAGCCUGCAAGGGAAACUGCCGUGCUGGAGUAUGGGAGAGGUGAGUGGAAUUCCCGGUGUA
rnacentral:rRNA from 1 species